rnacentral:rRNA from 1 species
AGCGAACGCUGGCGGCAGGCCUAACACAUGCAAGUCGAACGAAGCCUUCGGGCUUAGUGGCGGACGGGUGAGUAACACGUGGGAACGUACCUUUUGGUUCGGAACAACUCAGGGAAACUUGAGCUAAUACCGGAUGAGCCCUUAGGGGGAAAGAUUUAUCGCCGAAAGAGCGGCCCGCGUUAGAUUAGCUAGUUGGUGAGGUAAAGGCUCACCAAGGCAACGAUCUAUAGCUGGUCUGAGAGGAUGAUCAGCCACACUGGGACUGGGACACGGCCCAGACUCCUACGAGAGGCAGCAGUGGGGAAUCUUGCGCAAUGGGCGAAAGCCUGACGCAGCCAUGCCGCGUGAAUGAUGAAGGUCUUAGGAUUGUAAAAUUCUUUUACCAGGGACGAUAAUGACGGUACCUGGAGAAAAAGCCCCGGCUAACUUCGUGCCAGCAGCCGCAGUAACAC